rnacentral:tRNA from 1 species
UUUUCUUUUAUUAGAA